UCUGUAGUUACUUCAGUUAAACAAGACACACAUUUUGACAUAAUUCUAAAUCUGAGAUUCUCCAAGGGAUUUGUGAAACAUAAUUGAUGUGAGAUAUUGUAGAAAUAAGUUCAGCACUAUUUUUAUCAGUCAUCAAAUUGACAGUUGUUAGUAAUGACUCUCGUCAUAAAUGUUGCAUGCUGCUCACAACUCGUAGCACACCUGUGAAGCCAAUUAAAAACAAUCUAAACUAGUGUUUGUGACAGAGCAUAACCACAACAACCUUUGAACUUUGGUCUUGGUGUUCAGAAACAUUGUGCACACCUGACAGCACCAAAUAUUGGUAUCAAAAUGAAGUGAACUGGAUGUAAGGGGAACUGUCAGACCCUGCAAAUGAGGCCUCAUACUUACCACCACAGUGUGAAGAACUUCAAGCGAGGCAUACUGCUACUCUUCUGGGAGAUGUUCUCACAAAAAACAUUCAUCAGGAACUUUAGGGGAGGCACUGGAAACACAGAACAUUUUGUCACUGUCAUUCUUAGAGGAAUGCAGAGUAUGUGAUAAACAUUCUGUUGAGAGUUUGAAAUCCUCCAAAGAAAAAGUAUGUGAAAUUGCAAGUGAGAUAAAAUGAAAAUCAGUUGGAUCCCUCGACUUUUCCUUGAUGAAAAUGCCAAUCUGCAUCUAGGAUGUGGAUUUCUACUGGACACCAUUAACGUCUUUGGUGUUCCUUGGUGAUGAUGUUGAAGUACUGAACAGACUGAGACCACAAAGAUGAUGUGGCACAUGCUGCAGUUGAAUCUGUGUGAUCUCUUCCUGAAGUGUGUGCGUUUAACAUAUAGCUUCCACAAUGUCUCCAUUGAAAGCUGAUCUUCAUCUACAAGUGACUGAUCUCCACUGGGCACUGUAUACGCAUUUAGUAUUUUUUUGUUGGAGAAGAUAGUUCUUGUAUCCCGCCAUCUGGAGAUCUGCAUCAAAACAAGACAGCUUGAUCACAACCUUGAAGAUACUUCAAGUCCAGGUGUUUACUUCAGGGAGAGACAUCGGAAAGUACACUCCUGUAAAACCUCACCAUACUAAAAUAGUACUUUUGCAAAUGGAGAUUCCAAACAAAGCCAGUAAAAUGGAGGGAACUGGUUCCAUCGCUAUAAUAAAGAGGCACACAGGAACUUACAAGUGUAAUUUCAAAGGGCCAAAGUUUCCCAUAACUGUGUCCCUAAAUACCUAUGUGACAUGGCCAGUCAGACACUAUCAUUCAAAUAGGACUGCACAAACUGUGAAAGAAGCUUGGCUCGAUAGUAAAUCUACCCCACAAAAUAGCAAAAACACAGCUGAGAAGGAAAUACAGAGACACUACAUAGUGGUACAAUUUCACUUGUUCUCAGCUUCUGAUAUUGUGCCCAAGCAUGGGAAAACUAGUGCCCAAGCAGCUUAGAUAGAUAUACAUCUUAAUGAGGCAAUGACGACUAUCACUGGCACUGUUGGAUCUACUCCUAUUCAGUGGUUGCUUGAUCUAUCCAAUAUUGCCCUUCCAUAUCUGAGAAUAAAAGGUAGUAGGGUGCAGAAUUGUCAAAAAGAAAGUCACAUAAAAAUUAAAAUCUAUAUAGCCCUUUCCAGAUUCCACCAGCAGUAUACGCCUGGAGUCAUAAAAGCCACCUUUGAUCACAUUCUGUGUCAGUCAUUUUAGAUGACUGAAAGAGGAAAGAACUCUAUGAAUAUCCAUCCCAGAAUGUCCAACUAAUUCAAAACCCAUUGGAAAAAGUUGCAAUGUUUGAUCUGUCCCAUAAUGAAUGAUGAAGACUCGGCCACACCCAAACAGGACGAGAGAUGCGGGCACAUCUGGAAGAAGUGGGGUUAUUAUGAAAGUGCUGUGUGUGAGUGUAGUGUGGAGGAAUAGACACAGACAUUGUCCUUCGGUUCACACUUCUAAAGUCGGUCUGAAAGACUUCCAUGAAGUGACACUCAGUGCUUUGAUAUGCUUGUCUAAUUUAAACAUUAACAUGUAAAUUCACUGUGUAUUUACAUGUUUAUUUUCUGUUGUGCCAGGACAUGAUGAUUCAACCAUGUGCACCCAUAUGUUGCAACUUGUGCACACUACAAGCAACAAUUAAAUGUGCAUCAUUAGUAUUUUGAAUGCACAGGAUACUAGCUGCAUUUCUUAAGCGUGUUUGACUACACUCCAAAUUUUUCUGGUGUUCAUCAUAUAACAGCAGCUCAUGCCACCAUGGUAAAUCACAGAGUCACUGAAUGCUACUGUACUGUCUAUGAAAUGACAUAAGGUAGUGUCUGCUCUUGAAGCAGCCAACUGUAGGAUAUACAGUACAGAAUGAAUGACAUGGAGUAGCACCUUGCACGAGGAAGCUACAUUCUGAUGUUUAACAAACAAGUGAAAGAGAUGUGAAUGACUUUCACAAUAUAAGUAUUGGAUAUAAAGCUUUACCAAUAGCUGGGUGUACAUGAUGUACACUUCCUCAGUGGCAUUUAAUCUUCAUGUAUCGAAGACUUGCUUGUGGUAUGCAGGUGUCAGAUGUAGAGCAAACUGUGAAGAGGGAAAUAGUUGUCAAUCAAUACAUAUGGAUUCAGAAUGUCACAACUUCUGUCAAGUGCACUGAAUUUUGUUAGAAAAAAGCUUAAUGUGCAUUUACAUGUUUGAAAUUCCAUAUCAGUAAACUCUUGAAAACCCUAUCUUACAUAAACUUUUCUCAAUUCAGAAUUUGUACAUCAGCAGCUGUGCUCAGUGGUACCCAGACUUCAGAUAAAAUAUUCUGUAAUAAAAUGAAUGAAAUCAUCUGUAGAGGAGACAUAGACAAGGGAACAAAAUUUUUUUUCCUCAAUACAUCAGCAGCUUGAUGAUCUUGUUUCUGUUUUGACAUAUGUUUUUGUUAUUUAAAUGUGCAACUUUGUUUGCUCCCACACCAGUGUUCAAAGAAUUUUUUUUUUUUUUUUACUGUGUGAAAGAGUGUUUUAUUUAACGUAAAUUUUGAAGCAAGCAACAUUCUGUGUUUGGUUGCAAAAAUACUGCUCAAGCAGUGACUUACUAUUUGCUUUUAUCAUAGCUGAUGUGGUCAUGUAAUAAGGUUCUGUGUGCGUAAGAGUGAGGAGUGAUGUUAAGAAAUGUUUUCUAAUUGUGAUUGUUGAACAAAUCAUUAAUUUUCAGUGAUGUUUGCGUAAUAAAUGAUACAUAUGAGUAUCCAGUGUAAAUCACCUGUAAGAUAGAUAUACAUUAUCAUGAUGGCUAAGAUUCUGUAGUAUACAAGCUAAAAAUAAAUUUUCUUUUUAGGUGAUCAGAAUAACUGAUAAUUAUAAAAGAAGAAUUAAUUCUUCUGUGAUGCCUAAACUUUUUUCUGUUUUCUUGUUGCUUUUUUCCAAUUUGCAUUUCCAAUUUUCUGUCUCAAACAACAAGUAUUUUGCAAGGUCACCCUCCCCUACUUACCAUGAAGCAAAGUCCAGUGGAAUGUGUAAUCUAUAGGUAAUUAAUUGUAAAUAUAUUAUUAUAAGGUGAAUCUGAAAAGUUUGGUAAAUGGUCCCAUGUGUUAAAAACUGCCCUCAUUAGUAUGAGACACCCUCAAAUAAUCACUGAGAGACAUGUCAAGUACUUCAUACCUGUAAAAAUGAAGCAGUGGUGCACACUGUGACUAAGUUAAUAGUCAGUGUUAGAACUUGUGCCAUUUCAGAAUUGAGCAACACAUGAUCUUGAAGUUUUACUUCAAAUUAGGGGAAACUGUGAUAGAGACUCAUGUUAGUGCAAGUGUAUGGCACUGAAGCAGUGAAUAAAAGUGUGUGUGUGUGUGUGUGUGUGUGUGUGUGUAGGCAACAUCAAAUGAGUGCAACAGAUGCUUACAGAUGUGCAGCAGCUGUUCUUCUGGCAGAAGAGUUGAAGAUAAUCAAAGACAGGGUAAGCACUAUUGUUCGCGUCAUUUGAAAAGGCAGAAGAUUUAUGCCCAGUUUGUACUGCAGGUACUGACAGACAGACAAACUAAAGUGGAAACAUCUGGAGAUUUAAUGGACAUAUCUGACCAGAAUACACAGGUUUUGGAAACCAUCAUUACAACAAUGAAAUGUGGUGCUACCAAUCGAUGUGGAGACUGACCAACAGUCAGUGGCAUUGUGUUCAUUGUCUUCUCCACCUCGCAAAAAACAGUUGGCUGACGAAAUCCAAGAUAAAAAUGAUAGUGAAAGUCUUUUUUGACAGCAAGGGCUUGGUGCAUCAUGUUUUUAUACUUGAGGAUCAAACUGUUAAUGCGGAAUUUUACAAGGGAGUUGUGAAAUGGCUGCUGCAAUGCAUCUACAAGGUUUGAACAGAACUGCAGUGGAGUGGACAGUAAAAUUUCUUCCAUGACAAUGCCCGUCCACACACUGUGAUCAGUGUGCUCAGCUUUGUCACUUCAACACAGGUGACAGUUCCUCAGCAACCUCCUUAUUUUCCAGUUUUGGUGCCAGCAGACUUACUUUUGUUUCCCUGCCUUAAAGCAGCCAUGAAAAGCUUCAGGCUUGCAGGCUUCACAGAUAUCCAACAACACAUGACUAUUAUGCUUAGUUUGAUUCCACAAGAAGUGUUUGCUGACAUUUUCCAAGAGCUAUACUACCAAUGUCAGAAGUGUGUUGCAGCUAAUGGUGAUCACUUUGAAGUGCAGUAACUCUUGUUUUCUUUAUUUUCUGAGCCCAUUUACGAAAUUUUCCAGAUGCACUGAUUAAAUUGUUAUUUGCAAACCAAAACAUAGAGCGCACAAGUGAUUUCUAUCAAUGUGUGUUCAUGAUUAUAAUGGCCUUUAGCUUACAGGUGUGUUAAUGCUAGCGGUACUUCUGUUCUUCCUCAUUUCAGGAAAGCAAAUUUCGUAACUCACUGUGUAGUUCACAGCUGUGAAGUACACCAAUGUGUGCUUGUUUUAACACAUUUAAAUAUUUUGAGAGAUUUUUGUUGUAAUAAACUAUGAUCACACCAAUAUGACGCAAUACUGUUAGUAGUUAUUUAUAUGUAACGUGUUUCACAGGUCUUGUUUAAGCACUAACAUCAUUUCAUUACUAUUACUUAUGUUGACUGUUCAAAACAAAGUUGAAAAUAAGUUACAUAUUGUGCUUCUAUAUCCAGAAUGUAUGUUCAGGGUCUUUAAAGUUUGCCACAUACCUUACUUUGCACUUUAAUUUGUUAACAGAAUGAUGUGAGAAGUAAUUAUGGACUGUUUACAGUCGAAUUAGCAUGUUUCAAUUAUGUUAAAAAGAAACCAGAAGAUGUCCACAGAUAUAAUAAGCCUAUGUUGAAUUGUUAACCAUGGUAGCUAAUGUUGUUGUGACAUGUUGGACCAGAGAUAAUAAUAAAAUAUUGUAAACACCUA